GAAGAAGAUGAAGAACCGGUAAAACCUCCUAAAAAGCCUGCCAAGAAACCUUCCAAGAAACCUCUCCGUAAACCUAAGAAACGUGCUGUGUCUAAAGUUUCUCAGCUAGAGGAGAGUGAAGCUGAAGAAGCUGACACAGAGGAGAGUGAAAUUGAAGUGGAAGAGAAGCCAAAGAAGAAAAUAAUUGAACCAAAGAAACCAAA